GUCACGGUAGCUCAAGUGGUAGAGCACCGGCCCGGCGAGCCGAAGGUCGUGGGUUCGAAUCCCGCUCGUGACA